AUUGAACGCUGGCGGCAUGCCUUACACAUGCAAGUCGAACGGCAGCACAGGUGCUUGCACCUGGUGGCGAGUGGCGAACGGGUGAGUAAUACAUCGGAACGUACCUUAUCGUGGGGGAUAACGCAGCGAAAGUUGCGCUAAUACCGCAUACGCCCUGAGGGGGAAAGCGGGGGACCGUAAGGCCUCGCGCGAUUAGAGCGGCCGAUGUCUGAUUAGCUUGUUGGUGAGGUAAAAGCUCACCAAGGCGAUGAUCAGUAGCUGGUCUGAGAGGACGAUCAGCCACACUGGGCAUGAGACACGGCCCAGACUCCUACGGGAGGCAGCAGUGGGGAAUUUUGGACAAUGGGGGCAACCCUGAUCCAGCAAUGCCGCGUGAGUGAAGAAGGCCUUCGGGUUGUAAAGCUCUUUUGUCAGGGAAGAAACAGCAGCUCUAACACAGUCUGCGAAUGACGGUACCUGAAGAAUAAGCACCGGCUAACUACGUGCCAGCCGCCGCGGUAA
rnacentral:rRNA from 1 species